AGUGAACGCUGGCGGUAGGCCUAACACAUGCAAGUCGAACGGAAGCACAGUAAGAGCUUGCUCUUACGGGUGGCGAGUGGCGGACGGGUGAGGAAUACAUCGGAAUCUACUUUUUCGUGGGGGAUAACGUAGGGAAACUUACGCUAAUACCGCAUACGACCUACGGGUGAAAGCAGGGGAUCUUCGGACCUUGCGCGAUUGAAUGAGCCGAUGUCGGAUUAGCUAGUUGGCGGGGUAAAGGCCCACCAAGGCGACGAUCCGUAGCUGGUCUGAGAGGAUGAUCAGCCACACUGGAACUGAGACACGGUCCAGACUCCUACGGGAGGCAGCAGUGGGGAAUAUUGGACAAUGGGCGCAAGCCUGAUCCAGCCAUACCGCGUGAGUGAAGAAGGCCUUCGGGUUGUAAAGCCCUUUUGUUGGGAAAGAAAAGCAGCAUGUUAAUACCCCGCUGUUCUGACGGUACCCAAAGAAUAAGCACCGGCUAACUUCGUG
rnacentral:rRNA from 1 species